UUUUUUUUCUUUGUUAAGGGUAUCACUGAUGUCUUCCACCUUUUCUCAAUUCCAGUCAGUAUCUUUAUUACUUUAAAUUCUCUAUCAGGUUUAUUACUUGUGUCUGUUUCACAUAGGUCUCUUGCUGUGGUUUUUGUGCCGUUCUUUCAUUUUUGACAUUUCUGUCUCUUCAUUUUAUCUAACUCUCUGUGUCUGUUUCUCUGUGUUAGUAAAGUCAGCUACUUUCCCUGCUCUUGAUGGCGAUAGCCUUAUGAAGAAGAGGUCCUGUAAUGUUCUGCAAUGCAGUGUCCCCUGCUCCCCAGGACCUGCUGCUUCAAGGGUUGUCUCCUAUGUUUGUUGGGUGUGCCCUGCUGUUGAGUACUGACCACUUUUUCCUUCAGUCCACUUGUCUGCAGAGGCUCUCUUUUCCUGUUGUGGGCAGGGUUUGGUCCUCAGCCUGGUGGGGUGCAUUUUAACAAGGUGUGCACUGGUCUGCUUGCAAAAUGAGACCUGCAGCCACUUUUGUUGCCAGUACUGAUGUCCCGCAAAAUGUGCAGGUUGGAAGAUGAGGUUUUAGUGGGGUUUGUGCUAGUCUUCUGGAGGAGGACACCUGUAGCACUGAGACUGAGACAAGUGUCAGUGGGAAGGGUGGAUGUGCCAAAGCUUUGGUGGGGGGACUUGGAGUAAGCAAGUUAGGUAGUGAGUGUUAGCACAGUGCUGGUUCCCACAGGUGGCUUGUGGAUUUAUACUGAGUUGUGGGGGACGGAAAUGCAUGUGUCAUUUCCUUUGUUCCUAGAGGAGUCUCCCUGUGAUCCUUGCCUGAGACCUGCCCUGAGGUAAGCAAAUCACUCUCCCUCCCUUGUGCCCCAGGCAUUUUUCAAAGUUCUUCUUCCAUGCUGUAUCUCUGUUAGCUGUUGUGCUACUCUUUAAGGGCAGUAACUCUGCUUUCUAAUAUCCUUCAGGCUCUCCCAGAGCUGAACCUACAGAUUUUUAAAAUUCAGGGCUUUAAGCCCUUCUGGUUGUAAGAACUCACAGAUUCAGUCCCUCUGGCCUUCAAAGCCAAAUGUUAAGGGGGAUUCAUCCUCCCCAUGCAGGCUCCCUGGUGUCAUAGUUUGUUUAUUACUCUUCUCUCUGCAACUGGCUCCAUCCCCAUCAUGGACAGCCAUGGUCCUUUUUACUCCCAAACUGCAUCUUCAUUCUUCCUACCUUCUUCAAUGUGGCUGCUUCUCUAUCUUUUAUUGUGGAGUUUGUUCUGCCAGUCUUUGAGUUUUAUGAGUUAUUUAUGCUUAUGUGAGUGUUAUCUAGUUGUUUUUGUGGGAUGAAGCAACCUUAGGGUCCUUCUACUCCACCAUCUUCCCAGCCUCCUACUGUUUCAUCAACGUCUUGCGGCCUUCAGUGUAGAGAUCUUUUGUCUGCUUAAAUUUAUUCUUACAUAUUUGAUUGAUUUGAUGCUAUUGUAAACAUGAUCUUCUCUUUGUUUUUCAGAUAAUUGGUUGUUAGCAUAUGGAAACACUACUGUUUUUAUGUGUUAAGUGUUUGUAUCCUGCAACUUUGUUGAUUAUAUUAAGCAGUUUUAGGGUGAGUCUUUAGGAUUUUUGUACGGGUAAAAAUUUUAUCAUCUGCAAAUAGAGAUGGUUUUACUUUUCCAUUUCAAAGUCUCAUGAUUUUAUUUCCUGCCUGAUUGCACUGGCUAAAACUUCCAGUACUUUGUUGAAUAGGAAUGGUGAGUUGGCACUCUUGUCUUAUUUAUGAUCUUAGAGGAAAGCUUUAAACAUUUUAGCAUUUAGUAUGAUGUUAGCUCUUGGUUUGUCAUAUAUAUCCUUUAUUAUGUUGAGGUAAAUUCCUUCUGUACCCAAUUUAGGAGUUUCAUCAUGAACAGAUGUUGCAUUUUGUCAGUUGUUCAUUUUGCAUGUUAGCAAAACAUGAGUGAUUUGAAUAGUCCAAUAAGUUCACAUAAUUUUUUUCAUUCUGUAUCACACUGAUUGAUUGUAUGUUUUUUUUUUUAACAGUGUAUUGCUUUAUUGAGGGGGGGUUGGGAGGCAAGACACCAUGGUGAGGAACAAAAUCAAAUAAAGGAAGUACAAGUACAGGAAGCAAUAAUGUUAAAAUAGUAAUACACAAAAUGGAUAACUGCAAUCAUUUUCUUAAGAGGACUUGACUUGUGGAAGAUAAACUUUAAUUGCUGUUGCAAAAAACAUCUGUAUGAAGUAGAAACUGGUUUCAGUAAUAUUAGUAGAGAAUAUGUUCUAGAAAGUGGAGGUAACUGGAUGUAAAAUCCUGGCAGCAAUUUAAUAGAACAGUCCCAGAUGAUUAGGCUGAGGCCAACACCUAAUGAGGACGAAAGCCCUGUCUGGGGAAUUUUGGAUGAUACCUGGAGAAAUAUUACACUGUGCAUAAACCAAAUUGAAUUGUUUUCACAAUUGUUGUAAAGUUUCAUAUAGUAAAAGUUUUUUUCUACAUGCACUUCAAUUUCACAGCAAGAGUGGCAUAGGAUACCUAAACACAGAAGAGAGCAUUCAUGCAAGAUAUCUAACUCCUUGAUAUAAUAAUGCAUACAAUUCAAAAUGAUUACACUAUCAGUACAUCUAGGGCUUUCUGCAGCUACAAGGUGAUGGUUAUGGAAAGCAUGGCCCCCGAUAUCAAUAUCUAAAAAGCAGCCACCACCUCCUUCUAUGUGUGUUCUCUUUUUGCAUUUUUUCUUCUUCAUUUUUAUUAAUCAACUCUGCUGUUGUUGCUGCUUCUUAGCAAAACUGGUAAAAACAAAAUUGUAAUCAUUGAACAUAGCGCUCUGGCAAUCCAGACGUUUAAAGCCUUCAAUCUUCUGGGGUGAAGAAAGCACUGUGCGACAUUUAGAACUCUGAUUUACAAACAGGGUGGUUACAAAUUUUCCUGGCUUGAAGACUUCAACAACUUUCCUGAUCAGGUCAUCAUAGGAGGUCUGACUUAAGUUUGUUUCAAAGCUAACAUAAGAAAAUUCUGAUUCUGGAGUGAUUUGAAUAGUCCAAUAAGUUCCAUUCGAUUUCAUUCCAUUCAUCGAAUACCCACAAGGAUUGAACAGUGUGGCAUCAAUGACAGAACCUGGUAUCAGGUCACGAAUUCCAC
rnacentral:lncRNA from 1 species